rnacentral:rRNA from 1 species
AUUGAACGCUGGCGGCAUGCUUUACACAUGCAAGUCGAACGGCAACGAGGAGAAGCUUGCUUCUCUGUCGGCGAGUGGCGAACGGGUGAGUAUAGCAUCGGAACGUGCCAAGUAGUGGGGGAUAACCAAACGAAAGUUUGGCUAAUACCGCGUAAGCUCCAAGGAGGAAAGUAGGGGACCUAAAUAAGGCCUUACGCUAUUUGAUCGGCCGAUGUCGGAUUAGCUAGUUGGUGGGGUAAUGGCUCACCAAGGCAAUGAUCCGUAGCGGGUCUGAGAGGACGAUCCGCCACACUGGGACUGAGACACGGCCCAGACUCCUACGGGAGGCAGCAGUGGGGAAUUUUGGACAAUGGGGGAAACCCUGAUCCAGCCAUGCCGCGUGUAUGAAGAAGGCCUUAGGGUUGUAAAGUACUUUUGUUAGGGAAGAAAAGCUAGUUUUUAAUAAAAAUUAGUGAUGACGGGACCUAAAGAAUAAGCACCGGCUAACUACGU